rnacentral:rRNA from 1 species
ACAUGCAAGUCGGACGGUAACAGGAGAGAAGCUUGCUUUUCUUGCUGACGAGUGGCGGACGGGUGAGUAACGCGUGGGAAUCUACCCUUUAGUUGGGGACAACAUAUGGAAACGUAUGCUAAUACCGAAUGUGCUCUACGGAGUAAAGGUGCCCUCUCCUUGGAAGGUAUCGCUAAAGGAUGAGCCCGCGUUAGAUUAGCUAGUUGGUAGGGUAAAGGCCUACCAAGGCGACGAUCUAUAGCUGGUUUGAGAGGAUGAUCAGCCACACUGGGACUGAGACACGGCCCAGACUCCUACGGGAGGCAGCAGUGGGGAAUAUUGCACAAUGAGGGAAACCUUGAUGCAGCCAUGCCGCGUGUGUGAAGAAGGCCCGAGGGUUGUAAAGCACUUUCAAUUGUGAGGAAGAUUAAGUAGCUAAUACCUGCUUAGUUUGACGUUAACUUUAGAAGAAGCACCGGCUAACUCUGUGCCAGCAGCCGCGGUAAUACAGAGGGUGCAAGCGUUAUUCGGAAUUACUGGGCGUAAAGCGCGCGUAGGCGGACUGUUAAGUCGGUUGUGAAAGCCCUGGGCUCAACCUAGGAACUGCAUCCGAUACUGGCAAUCUAGAGUUUAAGAGAGGGAAGUGGAAUUCCAGGUGUAGCAGUGAAAUGCGUAGAUAUCUGGAGGAACAUCAGUGGCGAAGGCGACUUCCUGGCUUAAAACUGACGCUGAGGUGCGAAAGCUUGGGUAGCGAACGGGAUUAGAUACCCCGGUAGUCCAAGCCGUAAACGAUGUCAACUAGCUGUUGGUCUUAUUAAAAAGAUUAGUAGCGAAGCUAACGCGAUAAGUUGACCGCCUGGGGAGUACGGUCG